rnacentral:rRNA from 1 species
UAAUACGUAGGGGGCAAGCGUUGUCCGGAAUUAUUGGGCGUAAAGCGCGUGUAGGCGGUUCGAUAAGUCGGUUGUGAAAGUCCAGGGCUCAACCCUGGGAUGCCGACCGAUACUGUCGGACUAGAGUCCGGAAGAGGUGAGUGGAAUUCCCGGUGUAGCGGUGAAAUGCGCAGAUAUCGGGAGGAACACCAAUGGCGAAGGCAGCUCACUGGGACGGUACUGACGCUGAGACGCGAAAGCGUGGGGAGCAAACAGGAUUAGAUACCCUGGUAGUCCACGCCGUAAACGAUGGGCACUAGGUGUGGCGGGUGUCGACUCCCGCCGUGCCGGAGCUAACGCAUUAAGUGCCCCGCCUGGGGAGUACGGCCGCAAGGCUA